AAUCAACGCUGGCGGCGUGCCUCAGACAUGCAAGUCGAACGCUGCUGUUCGCCUUCGGGUGGACAGCGGAGUGGCGCACGGGUGAGUAACACGUAGGUAAUCUACCUUUGGGUGGGGAAUAACAGCCGGAAACGGCUGCUAAUACCGCAUAAUGCAGCGGCAUCACAUGAUGACAGUUGUUAAAGCGGGGAUCGUAAGACCUCGCGCCUGAAGAGGAGCCUGCGGCAGAUUAGGUAGUUGGUGAGGUAAUGGCUCACCAAGCCUGCGAUCUGUAACCGGCCUGAGAGGGCGGUCGGUCACACUGACACUGACAUACGGGUCAGACUCCUACGGGAGGCAGCAGU
rnacentral:rRNA from 1 species